AUUGAACGCUGGCGGCAGGCCUAACACAUGCAAGUCGAACGAGUGGCGGACGGGUGAGUAAUGUAUGGGAAACUGCCUGAUGGAGGGGGAUAACUACUGGAAACGGUAGGUAAUACAGCAUACCAUCGGAUUUGCCCAGAUGGGAUUAGCUAGUAGGUGGGGGAAAGGCUCACCUAGGAGACGAUCCCUAGGUGGUCUGAGCGGAUGACCAGCCACACUGGAACUGAGACACGGUCCAGACUCCUGCGGGAGGCAGCAGUGGGGAAUAUUUCACAAUGGACGCAAGCCUGGUGCAGCCAUGCCGCGUGUAUGAAGAAGGCAUUCGAGUUGUAAAGUACUUUCAGCGGGGAGGCGUUACCCGCAGAAGAAGCACCGGCUAACUCCGUGCCAGCAGCCGCGGUAAUUC
rnacentral:rRNA from 1 species